rnacentral:misc_RNA from 1 species
GAUGAAGAACGCAGCGAAAUGCGAUAAGUAGUGUGAAUUGCAGAAUUCAGUGAAUCAUCGAAUCUUUGAACGCACAUUGCGCCCCUUGGUAUCCCGAGGGGCAUGCCUGUUCGAGCGUCAUUUCACCACUCAAGCCUGGCUUGGUGUUGGGCGACGUCCCCUUUGGGGACGCGCCUCGAAACGCUCGGCGGCGUGGCACCGGCUUUAAGCGUAGCAGAAUCUUUCGCUUUGGAAGUCGGGGCCCCGUCUGCCGGAAGACCUACUCGCAAGGUUGACCUCGGAUCAGGCAGGGAUACCGCUGAACUUAAGCAUAUCAAUAAGCGGAGGA